rnacentral:rRNA from 1 species
CAGUCGCCGCGGUAAUACGAAGGGUGCAAGCGUUACUCGGAAUUACUGGGCGUAAAGCGUGCGUAGGUGGUGGUUUAAGUCCGUUGUGAAAACCCUGGGCUCAACCUGGGAAUUGCAGUGGAUACUGGGUCACUAGAGUGUGGUAGAGGAUAGUGGGAUUUCCGGUGUAGCAGUGAAAUGCGUAGAGAUCGGAAGGAACAUCUGUGGCGAAGGCGACUAUCUGGGCCAACACUGACACUGAGGCUCGAAAGCGUGGGCAGCAAACAGGAUUAGAUACCCCUGUAGUCCCUGUCUCUUAUAC